rnacentral:rRNA from 1 species
AUUGAACGCUGGCGGCAUGCCUUACACAUGCAAGUCGAACGGCAGCACGGGAGCAAUCCUGGUGGCGAGUGGCGAACGGGUGAGUAAUACAUCGGAACGUGCCCAGUAGUGGGGGAUAACCCGGCGAAAGCCGGACUAAUACCGCAUACGACCUACGGGUGAAAGCGGGGGAUCGCAAGACCUCGCGUUAUUGGAGCGGCCGAUGGCAGAUUAGCUAGUUGGUGGGGUAAAAGCCUACCAAGGCGACGAUCUGUAGCUGGUCUGAGAGGACGACCAGCCACACUGGGACUGAGACACGGCCCAGACUCCUACGGGAGGCAGCAGUGGGAAUUUUGCACAAUGGGGGAAACCCUGAUGCAGCGACGCCGCGUGGAGGAUGAAGGGUCUAGGCCUGUAAACUCCUUUU